ACGCUCGACACCACGGGAAGCAGCAGUAGGGAAUCUUCCACAAUGGACGCAAGUCUGAUGGAGCAACGCCGCGUGAGUGAAGAAGGUUUUCGGAUCGUAAAGCUCUGUUGUUGGUGAAGAAGGAUAGAGGUAGUAACUGGCCUUUAUUUGACGGUAAUCAACCAGAAAGUCACGGCUAACUACGUGCCGGCAGCCGCGGUAAUCUGAGCGGGCUGGCAAGGC
rnacentral:rRNA from 1 species